CUUUCUCCUCAAACACCAUCCUCUCUCUCUCUCUCUCAUUCACACAUCUCCCUCUGCAAAGUGAAAACCCUAAUUCUCAUCCAUGGAAGUUGAGUUUCAACCAAAGAUGGGAAGCUAACUUUUUGAGGGGAAUGUUGUUUGGCUCGAGGCCCAUAACAAGAUAAAUUUGUAUCGAUGUAAUAAUAUAUCGGUAUGAUGGAUCAUAUGUUAGGCGUCGGACCAGGCUUCAUUCCCCCCAAUUUCUUGCUUCCUUCCAAUUCUAAUCCACCCCUUUAUACUGGCAUGCAAUGCAAGAGCAGAUUGGUGCAAUGAUUAUGAAAGUUGACUUGUGGUUUUAAAGAAGAAAGGUGCAUAUUAGUACCCUGCACCCCUAGUCCUAGUAAUGGAUCAUUUCUUCAUCAUUACUUCCUUCUUCAUUUCUAACUCUUGUAAAAUGGGUUUUUUGUUUUGUUUCUUAACUUUUUCUUUGUCCCUUUACCACUUUGUCUCAACUCCAUCAUCAUAUUCAUGAUUAUCAAAUCUGCUCUGUCUAUUUAUGCUUUCCUCAGAUCUCCAUUUUCCCCAUGUUUUUCUCCCCCUCCCUUUCUGUUACCUCAUUCUCUCUCAAUAUAAUAUUGGCAACUCCCAAAUAUUUCUAGAUCUAUUUAAUUAGGUCAUGUCUACAUGAAUCUUUUUUUUUCUUUAUUGAGGAUAAUUUUACACAAUAAUUGUUUGGGUUUUGGCUAAUACUCAAAUCUUGUCACAUCUUUCCAUAAAUUAAAACAAUUACAAUAGUCUUAUUUCUGGUCCAUCAUGUGAGUGUGUGUGUGUGUGUGAAGGUGAUGAAAUGAUUUAUGAAAAACAUGUAGCUGAUUGAGAAGCAAACAGUUUUGGUGCAUGAUUCUUAGCGUGUUGAUAUGAUAUAGUAAUUUCUUAUAUUGAUGUGAUGACCUCUCCAUCUCAAAUCACUGUCAGUCAAGUGUAGGAUGAAUUUUUUCUCAUCUUUUUCAAAUUAGGAACAAAAAAAUUGUUAUGAUUUGAAUGAUAAGAAUUGAUGGGAUUUUUCAAUAAAGUUGGUCUGGUCUGGAGGGCAUAGUUUACUUGAAUAAUUGUCCAGUGGGAGAUAGAAAUCAAGAACAAUAAUGUGAUUGUACAUAUGUGUAAAUUUCCAUGAUAUGUACUGUAUAUUUAUACUGUGUCAGUAAAUUGCUUUUUACA